GUCGAGAAUUUUUCACACUGGGCGAAAGCCUGAUGGAGCGACGCCGCGUGGGGGAUGAAUGGCUUCGGCCCGUAAACCCCUGUCAUUUGCGAGCAAUGCUAUCGGCCUAACACGCCGGUAGUUGAUAGUAGCGAAAGAGGAAGGGACGGCUAACUCUGUGCCAGCAGCCGCGGUAAUACAGAGGUCCCAAGCGUUGUUCGGAUUCACUGGGCGUAAAGGGUGCGUAGGUUGCCGGAAUAGUCUGAUGUGAAAGCUCCGAGCCUAACUCGGAAAUUGCAUUGGAUACUUUUCGGCUAGAGGGUUGGAGGGGAGACUAGAAUUCUCGGUGUAGCAGUGAAAUGCGUAGAUAUCGAGAGGAAUACCAGUGGCGAAGGCGAGUCUCUGGAAAACACCUGACACUGAGGCACGAAAGCUAGGGGAUCAAACAGGAUUAGAUACCCGGGUAGUCC
rnacentral:rRNA from 1 species